CCCCUGGUGGUCUAGUGGUUAAGAUUUGGCACUUUCACUGCUGUGACCUGGGUUCAAUCCCUGAUCUGGGAA
rfam:Sus scrofa genome assembly, chromosome: Y